rnacentral:rRNA from 1 species
AUGCGUCGGAGGAUCGCUGGAAAGGCUGCGGCCACCGGUGACGGAGGAGUAGACCGCCUAGGCGCGCUCCCAGACGAGAUCCUCCAGCAUGCGCUGUCGUUCCUGCCGUCGCGCGACGCCGUGUGCACCUGCGUGCUCGCCCGCCGCUGGCGCCACCUGUGGAAGUCCGCCCCGGCCCUGCGGGUCACCGACGUCGACGCCUUCAGGAGCGCCCGCCACGUCAACGGCUUCGUCAACCACCUCAUCGUCCUCCGCGACCGGACGCCUCUCCGCGAGUGCGAGAUCGCCGCCUAUAAGGAAUACAAUGGCGGUGGGUACUACGACAGCAACGGAGAUCGCCGCGAGCACUCCCAAUACAUCGAUCUGUGUGGUCAGGUAUGCCUUGUCGUGCCACGCUCGGCUGCUUCAGAUCAGUGA